rnacentral:rRNA from 1 species
UGGGCAAUUUUGGACAAUGGGCGCAAGCCUGAUCCAGCCAUGCCGCGUGCGGGAAGAAGGCCUUCGGGUUGUAAACCGCUUUUGUCAGGGAAGAAAUCUUCUGAGUUAAUACCUCGGGAGGAUGACGGUACCUGAAGAAUAAGCACCGGCUAACUACGUGCCAGCAGCCGCGGUAAAUACGUAGGGGUGCAAGCGUUAAUCGGAAUACUGGGCGUAAAGCGUGCGCAGGCGGUUUUGUAAGACAGAGGUGAAAUCCCCGGGCUCAACCUGGGAACUGCCUUUGUGACUGCAAGGCUUGAGUGCGGCAGAGGGGGAUGGAAUUCCGCGUGUAGCAGUGAAAUGCGUAGAUAUGCGGAGGAACACCGAUGGCGAAGGCAAUCCCCUGGGCCUGCACUGACGCUCAUGCACGAAAGCGUGGGGAGCAAACAGGAUUAGAUACCCUGGUAGUCCACGCCCUAAACGAUGUCAAC